rnacentral:misc_RNA from 1 species
GAAAUGGACUUCAAACAGACACAGCAUUUUAAACUUUUCCCUCGAGAAACAGUCUCCAAAGCCCAAGUAUGAGGAGCUGCAGGGACCUUAUUCCUUGUUUUGGGGUUUUUCUUUGACCUGGCUAUGGCUUUCAUCCAACUACCAUUUAUGUUCCUUCUCCACUGGAAAGCUGUGUAAAAUAUAGUUAAAAUUCCUACUAAACCAGCAAUUAAACAGGAGAGAAUAAAUAGAGGGGAUUCUGCCAUCUCAGAAGGAUUUUUGCUGAUCCAGCUAAGAAGUGGAAACUCUGAUUCUCUGUAAUCUUCCAUUAUGGAAUUCUAUAUUUCCAUACUCUAUACACAAUUACACAUAUGCUAGUAUAAAUACAAACCUAGAUGAGCAUCAGGCUACGAAUAAUAGCAUCAUGCACCUCCUUAACACUACCACAAUCUAAAGACAUGCUGAUGUUAGUAUCCUAUGUCGAGUUUCAUUUUUCCCCAAUUAUGCCGAACAUAUUAACUUGCUAUUAAGUAUAACGACAACACUUGGAAACCUUUGUCCAGAGAUGAUGAUACUUCAAUUCAACACAUCCUCGGAAUCCUGCUUAAGUUCAUUUCGACCCCUGAAGGGCCCUAAACCUUUGAAUCAACACAACAAGAAACAAAAAAUAACCGUAUUAAUUAACAACAAUUUGAAAGAGAAUUGAAUUAGCGUCGUGCUCUGUUUGUUCCUCUGAACGGAAUCGUAGCUGCAAAACCCUAGGCGUUUGAAGGAAAAAUGGAGAAUCAGAGUUCGAAUAACGUUUGCUAAUAAUCAAAUGCAGAAGUUAGUCCUCCUAUUAAUUUUGAUUCGGUUAUUAAUUAAGUGUUAGGCAACCAACGGCUUAAUUAUGAUUUUUUUAUUACUAUACAAUUUUCUAGAGUGUCCUUACGUAUAUUCG